GAAUUGCGAUAUGUAAUGUGAAUUGCAGAAUUCAGUGAAUCAUCGAAUCUUUGAACGCACCUUGCGCCCUUUGGUAUUCCGAAGGGCAUGCCUGUUUGAGUGUCAUUAAAUUCUCAACUUCAAUAGCUUUUUGUUAUUGAAGCUUGGACUUUGGAGGUUAUUGCAGGCAAUUCAAUUGUCAGCUCCUCUUAAAUGCAUUAGCGGAACUUGUUAAGGACCAGCUUUGGUUUGAUAAAUGCUAUCUAUGCCGUCGCUGUGGACUUUGUUAUGUUCAGCUUCUAAUGGUCUUAGGACUGUCUCUUAUGAGGCAUACACUUUAAGCUUGACCUCAAAUCAGGUAGGAUUACCCGCUGAACUUAA
rnacentral:misc_RNA from 1 species